rnacentral:tRNA from 1 species
GGAGGGGAAUCCGGUCCGGUGGCCGGCUCGGUCUUCAAAACCGUUGCGGCGGCGCAUCGCUGCCAGGUGGGUUCGACUCCCACUCUCCUCCGCCA